rnacentral:siRNA from 1 species
UGCCGUCAACCGCCACGUCCC